UACGGAGGGUGCAAGCGUUAUCCGGAUUCACUGGGUUUAAAGGGUGCGUAGGUGGGCAGGUAAGUCAGUGGUGAAAUCUUUGGGCUUAACCCGAAACUGCCAUUGAUACUAUUUGUCUUGAAUAUUGUGGAGGUCAGCGGAAUAUGUCAUGUAGCGGUGAAAUGCUUAGAUAUGACAUAGAACACCAAUUGCGAAGGCAGCUGGCUACACAUAUAUUGACACUGAUGCACGAAAGCGUGGGGAUCAAACAGG
rnacentral:rRNA from 1 species